rnacentral:rRNA from 1 species
GACAGAGGUGCCGAGCGUUAGGCGGAAUCACUGGGCUUAAAGCGUGUGUAGGCGGGUCGUUAAGUGUCUUGUGAAAUCCCACCGCUCACCGGUGGAACGGCUGGGCAUACUGGCGACCUUGAGAGGCCUAGGGGCAGACGGAACAAGCGGUGGAGCGGUGAAAUGCGUAGAUAUCGCUUGGAACGCCGAAGGUGAAAGCAGACUGCUGGGGUUGCGCCGACGCUGAGACACGAAAGCCAGGGGAGCAAACGGG